rnacentral:snoRNA from 1 species
GAUAGAUGAUGAACUUAUUUAUGGGCAGACAAAGAUUGUGUGCUGUCAUGUUCUGAUUU